rnacentral:ncRNA from 1 species
UUAAAGUUUUAUUUUAACUUAAAAUUUCAGUUUAUUGUUAUUUAAUAUGUAUAUAUUAUAUUAAAAAUUUAUUUGCAGUUUUUAAUUUUAAAAAAUUAUUUAAGUAAGCUUUAGUAAUUAAUUAUAGAUUUAAUAAAAUUUGUGCCAGCAAUUCCGGUUAUACAAAUAAUUCAAUUGAAAUUUAUUGGUUAAAAAUUAAUUUUUUUUAAUUAAUUUAUUAUUAAAAUUUUUAAGUGAAAUUUAAAUUUUAAUAUAAAUUAUUUAUUUAUAUUUGAAGUUAUUAAAAUUAAUAUUAAACUAGGAUUAGAUACCCUAUUAUUAUAAUUGUAAAUUUUAAAUACCAGAUUAGUAUUAGUUGUUUUCUUAAAAUUUAAAAAAUUUGGCGGUAUUUUAGUCUAUUCAGAGGAACCUGUCCUGUAAUCGAUAAUCCACGAUUAGAAUUACUUUUUUUUUCUUCUAUAUCGUUGUUUUUGAAUAUUUUAGAAGAAUUAUAAUUUUCAAUAAGUAUAUUUUAGUUAAUUUCAGAUCAAGGUGCAGUUUAUAGAAAACAACAAAUGGGUUAGUUUAAAUUUAUUUUUGGUUUAUUAUUUUGAAUAAUAUUAUUAAAUUGGAUUUGAUAGUAAUAUAUAUAUUUAUUAUAUGAUUUUAGCUCUAAAAUGUGUACAUAUUGCCCGUCGCUCUCAUUUAUUUGAGAAAAGUCGUAACAAAGUAGAUUUACUGGAAAGUGAAUCUAGUAUUAGU